rnacentral:sRNA from 1 species
CAAGCGCUUAAGGUUGAGAGAGUAGGUAACGUCGUUAUCCGGUGUAAGUACUCUAGAAACCGCUUAGCCCACAGUGAUCUCCAAGGCGUAAAACGCGCGGCAGACAAAUAAGGCGGCGGCGAAAUUAAAGGUAAAAAAGUAUGUCGACAGUAACCGGUACCGUAAAGUGGUUUAACGAAUCCAAAGGCUUUGGCUUCAUCGAGCGUGAAGGCGGCCCAGACGUUUUCGUUCACUUCAGUGCUAUCAAGGGCGAUGGGUUUAAAACGCUGACAGAUGGUCAGAAAGUGGAAUUCACGGUCACGGACGGUCAAAAAGGCCCCCAAGCAGAGGACGUGGUUGCUGUCUGACAGUACUACGAACAUCCAAUUCCGUUCUCAGGGACGGAAUCAGAAG